GUGGCUGCCCAAGGAGAGCCCCAAGUCCAGUUCAAAUUGGUAUUGGUUGGUGAUGGUGGUACUGGAAAAACUGCAUUCAUGAAAUGUCAUCUGACCAGUGAAUUUGAGAAGUGUGUAGCCACCUUAGGUGUUGAGGUUUAUCACCUUGUGUUCCACACCAACAGAGGAUCUAUUAAGUUCACUAUAUGAGAUACAGCUGGCCAGGAGAAAUUUGGUAUACUGAGAAAUGGCUAUUAUAUUCAAGCCCAGUGUGCCGUUAUAAUGUUUGAUGUAACAUCUUGAGUUAUUUACAAGAAUGUGCCUAACUGGCAUAGAGAUCUGGUAUGAAUAUGUGAAAACAUCCUCAUGUUGUAUGGCAACAAAAUGGAUAUUAAGUAUGGGAAAGUGAAGGAAAAAUCUACUGUCUUCUACUGAAAGAAGAAUCUUCAGUAUUAUGACAUUUCUGCCAUAAAUGCCAAAAAGUAACUACAACUUUGAAAAGCCCUUCCUCUGGCUUGCUAGACAGCUCAUUGGAGACCGUAACUUGGAAUUUGUUGCCAUGCCUGCUCUUGCCUCACCAGAGAUUGUCAUGGACCCAAAUUUGGCAGUUUAGUAUGAGCAUGAUUUAGAGGUUGCUUAGACAACUGCUCUCCCAGAUGAGGAUGAUGACCUGUGA
rnacentral:lncRNA from 1 species